CUCAGUCUGAAAAAAGCAAGCAAGAUUGAGUGCCGGCGUGGGGAUGAGCAAGCGGGAAGUUUCACAGGAAGGGAACAUGCGUACGUAUCCUAUUUGCUUCUCCGGUUGAAGUCUACAUGUGUAUUAGGACACCAAAAACAAAAAUGCCUUUACUCAGGUAAAAGACAUCAUUGCUAUGUCAUGACUUUUGUCAUUAUUUGAGUGCAGGGCUUUUUCUUUCUUUCUUUAAGAGAGAGCUAAGCCAACAAUGAAGCCCUAAAUGAGUGUUUUUCAGGGGAAAAAAGAGGUACGUCAACAUCUGGUGAUCGUCUACUUCUCCAGAGCAACAGACAAGAAAAACUCAAUUGUGCUCUCUGCUGUCUGUAUUGUGCUAGUGCGCUCGAUUAGGUCAACAAAGCGUCCGUCCGUCCGUCGAUAAAGGAUAGCUCACCCGUGCAUUGAAUCCGUCUUGUGCUCUUCUAUCGGCUCAGGCUUUUUCCCCAUCUCCUUUUUCAAAGUGCCAAUUUCCAAAGCAAAGGAUUCAAUCAACUACAAAAGAAAUGCAAAUACUGUAUUUCCUUUCCCAGUUUGAGCUGUCAAUGAACAUUUCGGGUGCUGUACUGAUGUCAUCAUUUCUUUCAUUUCCUUCUUGCGCACUGCACUCUCUCUGUCGGGCGGGCUACCGAUCAUCAACAUGAGUCGCAAAAAGAUAAGCUCAGCAGUGGGAAAUCCCAAAUCGAAAAGCCAGAACUACACAAGGUUUACCGAGAGGCCAGAUCUGGAUUUGCUGAAGAAAUAUAUUUAAACGACAACACCAGUCAAACUCCAGAAAAACAUUUGAGUGGAGCGACACACUGAAGUCAAUAUUUCCUGUUUUCUACAGGAAAAACAGGCAAGAAGCUAGCUAGACUCCAACUCACUUCCCUUUUGAAAAACAGUAGCGAUGCUUUGACAUACAUGUCCGUACCUUGAAAAAACUGCUUUUCCUCUCCCGUUUGGAGGGCUGCUGGAUGUUAUGAGUGGACAUCUUGGACAGCUCCCUGGAAAGGCAAAUUCAAGCAGAACAAUUAUCAUCAUUAAAGCCACGGAAACGAGCUACAGUAUUUGUAGGCGACACGCUGAACUCAUUUCCAAGGGUGUGCUGGAGCCUAUCCCAGCUAUCAUCGGGCACCCUGAACUUUUUGCAGCAUUUUGGGAGUUCAGGUGCCCAAAUGUGUCUUUCCAUUUCUAUGAGCCAUAUGUGAGUCAGUGUCCAGGCCGGAAAACCAGGAAGUCCAAGGAAUAUAAAACUUUGCCAGCACGUGUUCAUUUAUAUUGCCAGUCACAGUCAAGUUUCUUGUCAGAUUAACGGAAUGCCAUCAAGAUAUGACUGAGUGGCAGAAAUCAGCCAAAGCCUCAAA